rnacentral:rRNA from 1 species
GGUUACGUCAAGACUCACGGUUAUUAACCGUAAGCUUUCUUCUCUACUGAAAGUGCUUUACAACCCGCAGGCCUUCUUCACACACGCGGCAUUGCUGGAUCAGGCUUGCGCCCAUUGUCCAAUAUUCCCC